UGGGGAAUAUUGGACAAUGGGCGCAAGCCUGAUCCAGCCAUACCGCGUGGGUGAAGAAGGCCUUCGGGUUGUAAGCCCUUUUGUUGGGAAAGAAAAGCAGCUGGUUAAUACCCGGUUGUUCUGACGGUACCCAAAGAAUAAGCACCGGCUAACUUCGUGCCAGCAGCCGCGGGAAUACGAAAGGGGCAAGCGUUACUCGGAAUUACUGGGCGUAAAGCGUGCGUAGGUGGUUGUUUAAGUCUGUCGUGAAAGCCCUGGGCUCAACCUGGGAAUUGCGAUGGAAACUGGGCGACUAGAGUGUGGCAGAGGAUAGUGGAAUUCCUGGUGUAGCAGUGAAAUGCGUAGAGAUCAGGAGGAACAUCCGUGGCGAAGGCGACUGUCUGGGCCAACACUGACACUGAGGCACGAAAGCGUGGGGAGCAAACA
rnacentral:rRNA from 1 species